rnacentral:rRNA from 2 species
AGAGUUUGAUCAUGGCUCAGAUUGAACGCUGGCGGCAGCGUUAACACAUGCAAGUCGAGCGGAGAUGAGGUGCUUGCACCUUAUCUUAGCGGCGGACGGGUGAGUAAUGCUUAGGAAUCUGCCUAUUAGUGGGGGACAACAUUCCGAAAGGAAUGCUAAUACCGCAUACGUCCUACGGGAGAAAGCAGGGGAUCUUCGGACCUUGCGCUAAUAGAUGAGCCUAAGUCGGAUUAGCUAGUUGGUGGGGUAAAGGCCUACCAAGGCGACGAUCUGUAGCGGGUCUGAGAGGAUGAUCCGCCACACUGGGACUGAGACACGGCCCAGACUCCUACGGGAGGCAGCAGUGGGGAAUAUUGGACAAUGGGGGGAACCUGAUCCAGCCAUGCCGCGUGUGUGAAGAAGGCCUUAUGGUUGUAAAGCACUUUAAGCGAGGAGGAGGCUACUGAGACUAAUACUCUUGGAUAGUGGACGUUACUCGCAGAAUAAGCACCGGCUAACUCUGUGCCAGCAGCCGCGGUAAUACAGAGGGUGCGAGCGUUAAUCGGAUUUACUGGGCGUAAAGCGUGCGUAGGCGGCUUUUUAAGUCGGAUGUGAAAUCCCCGAGCUUAACUUGGGAAUUGCAUUCGAUACUGGGAAGCUAGAGUAUGGGAGAGGAUGGUAGAAUUCCAGGUGUAGCGGUGAAAUGCGUAG